rnacentral:rRNA from 1 species
UACGAAGGGUGCUAGCGUUGUUCGGAAUUACUGGGCGUAAAGCGCGCGCAGGCGGCUUUCUAAGUCAGGGGUGAAAUGCCACGGCUCAACCGUGGAACUGCCUUUGAAACUGGAGAGCUGGAGUCUUGGAGGGGGUGGCGGAAUUCCUAAUGUAGCGGUGAAAUGCGUAGAUAUUAGGAGGAACACCGAUGGCGAAGGCAGCCACCUGGACAAGCACUGACGCUGAGGCGCGAAAGCGCGGGGAUCAAACAGG